CUUAUCAAGAGAGGCGGAGGGACAGGCCCUGUGAAACCCGGCAACCGGCAUUAUGCAGCGGUGCUAAAUCCUGCGGUGUUUAUUCCGAAAGAUGAG
rnacentral:ncRNA from 1 species